rnacentral:rRNA from 1 species
AACGAACGCUGGCGGCGUGCCUAACACAUGCAAGUCGAACGUGACUAGAGAGCUUGCUCUCUAUGAAAGUGGCGCACGGGUGAGUAACGCGUAGAUAAUCUGCCUGAUGAUCCGGGAUAACACUUCGAAAGGGGUGCUAAUACCGGAUAAGCCCACGGGGUCCUUGGACUCUGCGGGAAAAGGGGGGGAUCGCAAGACCUUCCGUCAUCAGAUGAGUCUGCGUACCAUUAGCUAGUUGGUAGGGUAAAGGCCUACCAAGGCGACGAUGGUUAGCUGGUCUGAGAGGAUGAUCAGCCACACUGGAACUGAGACACGGUCCAGACUCCUACGGGAGGCAGCAGUGGGGAAUUUUGCGCAAUGGGGGAAACCCUGACGCAGCAACGCCGCGUGAGUGAUGAAGGCCCUUGGGUCGUAAAGCUCUGACAGAGGGAAAGAAGUGUAUGGAGGCUAAUACCCUUUGUACUUGACGGUACCCUCAAAGGAAGCACCGGCUAACUCCGUGCCAGCGGCCGCCGUAAAAC